rfam:Ixodes scapularis strain Wikel colony gcontig_1108378938960, whole genome shotgun sequence.
GGUGGAGUGGUGUAGAGGUUAGCACACCCGACCGGACGUUGGGAGGCCCAGAGUUCAAAUCCUGGCUCUGCCA